AGCCCUAAUGCGGUCCAUGUUUUCCAGCAUGCUGUGGGCCAUUCUCCUUCCACUUCUCUCUCACUGCUUAGGUGUCAGCUCUCAGCCUACACUGACCCAGCAGCCCUCAGAGUCUGUGGUGCUUGGAAAGACAGUGAGACUCUCGGCCCGUUUGAGCAGUGGCUAUGAGGGCUACGUUGUAUCAUGGUAUCAGCAGAGAGAGGGGCAAACUCUUCGGCUUCUGAUGUACAGUGACAGCAGCAGACCCAGUGGGAUCCCAGAUCGAUUCUCUGGUUCCAGAUCGGGCAGUGAUCGCUAUUUGACCAUCACUGGAGUGCAGCCAGAAGAUGAGGCGACAUAUUACUGUGGUGUAGAUCAUGGCAGUGGCAGUAGCUUUGUGUAA